GAUGAACGCUAGCGGCAGGCCUAACACAUGCAAGUCGAGGGGCAGCACAAAGAUAGUUUACUAUUUUGGUGGCGACCGGCGCACGGGUGAGUAACGCGUAUGCAACCUACCUUAUACAGGAGUAUAGCCCGAAGAAAUUCGGAUUAAUCCUCCAUAGUAUUUUCUAAUGGCAUCAUUUGGAAAAUUAAAGCUUCGGCGGUAUAAGAUGGGCAUGCGUCCUAUUAGCUAGAUGGUAAGGUAACGGCUUACCAUGGCAACGAUAGGUAGGGGGCCUGAGAGGGUGAUCCCCCACACUGGUACUGAGACACGGACCAGACUCCUACGAGAGGCAGCAGUGAGGAAUAUUGGGCAAUGGAGGCAACUCUGACCCAGCCAUGCCGCGUGCAGGAAGAAUGCCCUAUGGGUUGUAAACUGCUUUUAUUUAGGAAUAAACCUCUCUACGUGUAGAGAGCUGAAUGUACUAAACGAAUAAGCACCGGCUAACUCCGUG
rnacentral:rRNA from 1 species